AUUGAACGCUGGCGGCAUGCCUUACACAUGCAAGUCGAACGGCAGCAUGGAGAGCUUGCUCUCUGAUGGCGAGUGGCGAACGGGUGAGUAAUGCAUCGGAACGUACCGUGUAAUGGGGGAUAACGCAGCGAAAGUUACGCUAAUACCGCAUACGAACUGAGGGUGAAAGCAGGGGAUCGCAAGACCUUGCGUUAUACGAGCGGCCGAUGUCAGAUUAGCUAGUUGGUGAGGUAAAGGCUUACCAAGGCGACGAUCUGUAGCGGGUCUGAGAGGAUGAUCCGCCACCAUGGGACUUAGACACGGCCCAGACUCCUACGGGAGGCAGCAGUGGGGAAUUUUGGACAAUGGGGGCAACCCUGCUCCAGCCAUGCCGCGUGAGUGAAGAAGGCCUUCGGGUUGUAAAGCUCUUUCGGCCGGGAAGAAAUCGCACAGGCUAAUACUCUGUGUGGAUGACGGUACCGGCAUAAGAAGCACCGGCUAACUACGUGCCAGCCGCCGCCGUAA
rnacentral:rRNA from 1 species